rnacentral:rRNA from 1 species
UUCGAAUCCUACACCCUCCGAAAUAAUUUAUUUUAUUACUUAAUUAUAAGUAUAUAAUUCUUUCUAUAUUUAUCUUGAAAGUUUAUAUAAAUAAUAUAUAAGUAAUAUAAUAAUAAUAUUAUUAUGUAACCCGGAUCGACUACUUAUUUACGAGUGGGAUAUCCUAUGGGAAGUUAUAAAUAAAUACAAUA